rnacentral:rRNA from 1 species
AGUGAACGCUGGCGGUAGGCCUAACACAUGCAAGUCGAACGGCAGCACAGUAAGAGCUUGCUCUUACGGGUGGCGAGUGGCGGACGGGUGAGGAAUACAUCGGAAUCUACUUUUUCGUGGGGGAUAACGUAGGGAAACUUACGCUAAUACCGCAUACGACCUACGGGUGAAAGCAGGGGAUCUUCGGACCUUGCGCGAUUGAAUGAGCCGAUGUCGGAUUAGCUAGUUGGCGGGGUAAAGGCCCACCAAGGCGACGAUCCGUAGCUGGUCUGAGAGGAUGAUCAGCCACACUGGAACUUAGACACGGUCCAGACUCCUACGGGAGGCAGCAGUGGGGAAUAUUGGACAAAGGGCGCAAGCCUGAUCCAGCCAUACCGCGUGGGUGAAGAAGGCCUUCGGGUUGUAAAGCCCUUUUGUUGGGAAAGAAAAGCAGCAGGUUAAUACCCCGCUGUUCUGACGGUACCCAAAGAAUAAGCACCGGCUAACUUCGUG